GACGAACCGUGCGAACGUUAUUCGGAAUCACUGGGCUUAAAGCGCGUGUAGGCGGGACGGCACGUCUGUCGCUGAAAUCCCCCGGCUCAACCGGGGAACGGGCGCGGAUACGACCUUCCUGGAGGGGCGUAGGGGGACCUGGAACUUCCGGUGGAGCGGUGAAAUGCGUUGAGAUCGGAAGGAACGCCCGUGGCGAAAGCGGCCUUCUGGACCAGCACUGACACUCAAGCACGAAAGCGUGGGGAGCAAACAGG
rnacentral:rRNA from 1 species